CCCCUCUCAGGGUCGCACCUGGGGAGUUUCCAGUACUCCACCAACCUCGACUAUGGGAGGGAGAGUCAAGCAGAGGCAUAUCCAUUCCACUCCUACCUUGGGCAAUGGCUAGCGAGUGGAAGGCAAUCUGCUACAAAC